UACGGGGGGGGCAAGCGUUGUUCGGAAUUACUGGGCGUAAAGGGCUCGUAGGCGGCCAACUAAGUCAGACGUGAAAUCCCCAGGCUCAACCUGGGAACUGCGUCUGAUACUGGAUGGCUUGAAUUCGGGAGAGGGAUGCAGAAUUCCAGGUGUAGCGGUGAAAUGCGUAGAUAUCAUGAGGAAUACCAGAGGCGAAGGCGGCUACCUGGACAAUUGCUGACGCUCAGGCACGAAAGCGUGGGGAGCAAAAGGG
rnacentral:rRNA from 1 species